rnacentral:rRNA from 1 species
UUCUUGGUCAUUUUAAGAGAAGUAAAAGUCGUAACAAGGUUUCCGUAGGUGAACCUGCGGAAGGAUCAUUACCGAGUGAGGGCCCUCUGGGUCCAACCUCCCACCCGUGUUUAUUUUACCUUGUUGCUUCGGCGGGCCCGCCUUAACUGGCCGCCGGGGGGCUUACGCCCCCGGGCCCGCGCCCGCCGAAGACACCCUCGAACUCUGUCUGAAGAUUGUAGUCUGAGUGAAAAUAUAAAUUAUUUAAAACUUUCAACAACGGAUCUCUUGGUUCCGGCAUCGAUGAAGAACGCAGCGAAAUGCGAUACGUAAUGUGAAUUGCAAAUUCAGUGAAUCAUCGAGUCUUUGAACGCACAUUGCGCCCCCUGGUAUUCCGGGGGGCAUGCCUGUCCGAGCGUCAUUGCUGCCCUCAAGCACGGCCGCGUCCGGUCCUCGAGCGUAUGGGGCUUUGUCACCCGCUCUGUAGGCCCGGCCGGCGCUUGCCGAUCAACCCAAAUUUUUAUCCAGGUUGACCUCGGAUCAGGUAGGGAUACCCGCUGAACUUAGCAUAUAAAUAAAGCGGAAGAAAA